rnacentral:rRNA from 1 species
GUGGGGAAUAUUGGACAAUGGGCGAAAGCCUGAUCCAGCCAUGCCGCGUGUGUGAAGAAGGUCUUCGGAUUGUAAAGCACUUUAAGUUGGGAGGAAGGGCAGUAAGUUAAUACCUUGCUGUUUUGACGUUACCAACAGAAUAAGCACCGGCUAACUUCGUGCCAGCAGCCGCGGUAAUACGAAGGGUGCAAGCGUUAAUCGGAAUUACUGGGCGUAAAGCGUGCGUAGGUGGUUGUUCAAGUCUGUCGUGAAAGCCCUGGGCUCAACCUGGGAAGUGCAUUCGUGACUGCAAGGCUAGAGUGUGUCAGAGGGAGGUGGAAUUCCGCGUGUAGCAGUGAAAUGCAUAGAGAUGCGGAGGAACACCGAUGGCGAAGGCAGCCUCCUGGGAUAACACUGACGCUCAGGCACGAAAGCGUGGGGAGCAAACAGGAUUAGAUACCCUGGUAGUCC